rnacentral:lncRNA from 1 species
UUCCCAGGCUAGGGGUCCAAUCGGAGGUGUAGCUGCUGGCCUACGCCACAGCCACGGCAACGCUAGAUCUGAGCUGCAUCUGCAACCUACACCACAGCUUGGCAACGCCAGAUCCUUAAUCCACCGAGUGAGACAGGGAUUGAACCUGCAACCUCAGGGUUCCUAGUCGGAUUCAUUUCCACUGUGCCACAACAGGAACUCCUCAAACUUUUCAUUAUUAUUGUAUUUGUUACGGUGAUCUGUGAUCAGUAAUCCCUGUUAGUGUUGCAAAAUGAUUAUGAUUUGCUGAAUGCUCAGAUGAUGGUUAGUAUAUCUAAUUUUUUUUUUUAAUUUUUAGGGCCGAACCUGUGGCAUAUGGAGGUUCCCAGUCUAGGGGUAUAAUCGGAGCUACAGCUGCCGGCCUAGACCACAGCUGCAGCCACAUAGGAUCUGAGUCGUGUCUGUGCCCUAAACCACACAGCUCGUGACAACACUGGAUCCCUGACCCACUGAGUGAGGCCAGGGAUCAAACCCAUGUCCUUGUGCGUACUAGUUGGGUUCAUUAACCACUGAGCCACGAUGGAAACUCUAGUAAUAAAAUAUUUUUAUUUUUGUAACUAUUAUUUUCUUUUUUUUUUUUUUUGCUUUUCAGGGCCUCACUUGCAGCAUGUGGAGGUUCCCAGGCUAGGUGUCUAAUCAGAGCUGCAGCUGCCGGCCUAUGCCACAGCCACAGCCACAGCCACAGCAAGCCAGCACUGAGCCAUGUUUGUGACCUACACCACAGCUCACAGCAAUGCCAGAUCCUUAACCCACUGAACGAAGCCAGGGAUCGAACCUGCAUCCUCAUGGUUCCUAGUCUGAUUCCUGCUGAGCCACGAUGGGAACUGCUAAAAUAUUUUUAAAUUAAGGCAGGAACUUCAUAUGCUGUGGGUACGCCAUUAAAAAAAAAAAAGAAAGAAGGGAUGUUACUGCCCAUUCUAUAAAAAAAGAAUUAUGAGAGAAUCCUAUGAACAUUUCUAUGCCAACAAAUUGGAUAGCCUGGAUGAAAUUGACAAAUUCCAAGAAGCACGCAAACUGCCAAAACUAAAUAGCAAAUAGCAUCAUAACUUGUUGUCAAGCUGGGAGAUUGAAUUUCAUUAUCAAAAACCUCUCAGCAAAGCAAAGCCCUGGACUUAAUGGCUUCACUGGUGAAUUCUAACAAACAUUUAAAGAACUAAUACCAAUCGUUCUCACAUUCUUCCCAAAAAUCAAGAAGGGGGGUGCCUUUCUUAACUCAUUCUAUGAGGCCAUCAUUGUUGCAAUACUAAAGCCAAACAAACACUAAAAAAGCGAAAACUACAGAUCAUUUUCCAUUAUGAACAAUGAUGUAAAAUCCUCAAGAAAGUACCAGCAGAUCAAAUUCAGCAGCAAAGUAAAAGGAUUAUAUACCAUGACCAAGCAAAGUUUAUUCCUGGAAUGCAAGGAUGGUUCCACAGCCAAACAGUGAUCAUUAAUACACCAUAUUAACAGGAUGAAAGGGGAAAAAAAUAUCAUCUCAAUUGAUGUAGAAAUAGCCUUUGACACAAUUCAAUACCCUUUCAUGAGGAAAACAUUUAAAACACUGGAAAUAAAAGGAAAUUACCUCAACUUAAUAAAAGCCGUAUGUGGAAAACCCACAGUAAACGUUAAUACUCAGUGGUGAAAGACUAAUAAUUUUGUUUGUAAGGUAAGCAGCAAAACAAGGAUGCCCACUUUACCACUUCUGUUCCGAUCAGCCCUGGAAGUUCUAGCCAGAGUAGCUCUGCAAGAAAAAAGACAUCCAGAUUGGAAAGGAAAGAAUAUAUCCAUUAUGUUGUAUGUACAGUACUCUAAAGAUUUCAUAUCAAAAAAUUUUAUAAAAAUUUAAAACCUGUUAGAGCUAAUAAACAGAGUUUCAGGAUAGAAAAUGAACACCCAAAAACCAGCUGUACUUCUGUGUACUAAAAAUGAACAUUCCAAAAAUGAAAGCAAGGAAACAAUUCUAUGUACAGUAGUAUCAAACAGAAUAAAAUAACUAGGAGUAGAUUUAAUGCAGAUGAGAAAGGCUUGUAAGCUAAAAACUCUAAAACAUUGCCGAGAGAAAUUAAAGACAAUGUAAGCAAAUGGAGAGACAGCUAACAUUCAUGAAUGAGAAAACACUGCCCAAAGCCGUAUACAGAUACAGUGCAGUCCUUACCAAGACCCCAGUGAUGCUUUCUGCAGAAGUAGAAAAACCCAUCCUAAAAUUCACAGAGAAAAUCGUGGGGCCCUGAAUAGUCAAAAUAAUUUUGAAAGCACAAGAUUGGAGCUCUCCCACUUUGUGAUUUUAAAACUUAACUACAGAGCUACAGGGAUCAAAACUAUAGUUCUGCUUUAAGGAUACACAUGUAAACCAGUGGAACAGAGUAGAGAGCCCAGAGAUUAACUUUCACAUACAUGGUGAAUUGAAUUUCAUAAAGAUGCUAAAUACAUUCAGUGGUGAAAGGACAGUGUCUUCAACAAAUGGUAAUGGUGCUGAGAAAACAUCUACCCUGAAGAAGAAUUUGGACCCUGACCUGUCACCAUAUACAAAAAAUAAAUCAAAACUAAUCAGUCAUCUCAAUCAAAAGACCUAAUCUAUAGUUAAAACUAUAAAACUCGCAGAAGAAAACAGGGAAAAACAUGACAUUGGGUUUGGCAGUGAUUCUGUGCUUGUGACACCAAAGGCACAGGCAACAACAACAACAGAAUAUAUAAAUUGGACUUCAUCCAAACUAAAAAUUUGUGUUUCUAAGGACGCUAUUGAGAGUAAAAAGACAGAGUUCCCUUGUGGGGCAGUGGGUUAAGGAUUGGCAUUGUCAGUGGAGCAGCUUGGGUUGAAACUGAGGCACAGGUUCAAUCCCUGGCCCAGGAACUGCCAUAUGCCAUGUGCACAACCAAAAAAAAAAAAA